rnacentral:rRNA from 1 species
GAAACAUGGAGUAAUACCGGAUAAGUCCAGUUUUUUACGAAUUUCUGGAGAAAGCUGCUUUACAGCAGCACUGUAAGAUGAGCCUGCGGUCCAUUAGCUAGUUGGUGGGGUAAGAGCCUACCAAGGCGACGAUGGAUAGCCGGCCUGAGAGGGUGUACGGUCACACUGGGACUGAGACACGGCCCAGACUCCUACGGGAGGCAGCAGCUAAGAAUCUUCCGCAAUGGGCGAAAGCCUGACGGAGCGACGCCGCGUGAGCGAAGAAGGCGGAAACGUUGUAAAGCUCUUUUCUAUGUUUAGAAUAAGGCUAUUAGGAAAUGAGUAGCUGAUGACAUAUGCAUAGGAAUAAGCCCCGGCCAAUUACGUGCCAGCAGCCGCGGUAAUACGUAAGGGGCAAGCGUUGUUCGGAAUCAUUGGGCGUAAAGGGCGUGUAGGCGGUUAUACAAGCUCGAUGUGAAAUAUCCCGGCUUAACCGGGAAAAUGCGUUGAGAACUGUAUGACUUGAGUUUUUGGGGGGAAGCUGGAAUUCCUGGUGUAGGGGUGAAAUCUG